UGGGGAAUAUUGGACAAUGGGCGCAAGCCUGAUCCAGCCAUGCCGCGUGAGUGAUGAAGGCCUUAGGGUUGUAAAGCUCUUUUGUCCGGGAAGAUAAUGACUGUACCGGAAGAAUAAGCCUCGCCUAACUUCGUGCCAGCAGCCGCGGUAAUACGAAGGGGGCUAGCGUUGCUCGGAAUCACUGGGCGUAACGGGCGCGUAGGCGGACUUUUAAGUCGGAGGUGAAAGCCCAGGGCUCAACCCUGGAAUUGCCUUCGAUACUGGGAGUCUUGAGUUCGGAAGAGGUUGGUGGAACUGCGAGUGUGGAAGUGAAAUUCGUAGAUAAUCGCAAGAACACCGGUGGCGAAGGCGGCCAACUGGUCCGAAACUGACGCGGAGGCGCGAAAGCGUGGGGAGCAAACAGG
rnacentral:rRNA from 1 species